rnacentral:rRNA from 1 species
UACGUAGGGGGCGAGCGUUGUUCGAAGUUACUGGGCGUAAAGCGCGCGUAGGCGGUCUCUUAAGUCCGGGGUGAAAGGUUCAGCGCUCAACGCGAACAGUGCCCUGGAGACUGGGGGACUUGAGUGUGGGAGGGGGCAGUGGAAUUCCUGGUGUAGCGGUGAAAUGCGCAGAUAUCAGGAGGAACACCAAUUGCGAAGGCAGCUCGCUGGGACGUUACUGACGCUGAGACGCGAAAGCGUGGGGAGCAAACAGG